UGUAGGGAAUUUUGGUGAGCUUUGCUGAAGACGCCUCAGAUGUGCAUCUUGUCAUAUCAAAUUCUCUCGAAUGAACGUUUACUACAACUUCUGAUCCGUAAUUUAGGGGAAAAAAAUUACAUUCAUGUGAAAAUAAGCUUUUGUGAAAUAAAAUUGAUGUACAGCAUUUCACAAUCAAAGAGAGACAACAUGCUGUUUGAAGCAAAUUGUCUCCCUUAAGAAGGAGGAGUUUUAAUAGUUUAUAUACAUUAAAUGUCUUAAGGGCCCAAAAGCAAUACCUGUUCAAGACAGUUUUAGUAGCAGAGUAGAAAUCUUGAAGCGAUAAAUCAAUUUUAAAUCUUGAACAUUUGUUAGAUUUUGUGUUGUGAAUAAAAGCAUUAAUUAAACU
rnacentral:sRNA from 1 species